UACGUAGGGGGCAAGCGUUGUCCGGAAUUAUUGGGCGUAAAGAGCGUGUAGGCGGUCCGGUAAGUCAGCUGUGAAAGUCAAGGGCUCAACCCUUGAAUGCCGGUUGAUACUGUCGGGCUAGAGUCCGGAAGAGGCGAGUGGAAUUCCCGGUGUAGCGGUGAAAUGCGCAGAUAUCGGGAGGAACACCAAUGGCGAAGGCAGCUCGCUGGGACGGUACUGACGCUGAGACGCGAAAGCGUGGGGAGCAAACAGG
rnacentral:rRNA from 4 species